ACACGCAUAGCUUCUUGAUCACGAUUUACGAGCAGCCACAGCAAUACCAUUUUUUCUGCAGAAAAGAUGAAAGAAGAGCAGAGAUCUAUCCGAUCAUCGAUCAUCUGAUGCAGGUGACUAUAACUGAUAAUUGCACAUACUUACUGAUUUUCCGAGAUAUUGGUAGUUUGGAUUAUUUGUCUUCAACCCUCCUCUUCCAUGCUCGUUUUUAUGCUGUGCAGUUGCAGUUGCAGUUGCGCUGAUAUUAACCACUCCGUUGGUCGUCUUCUUGUCAUCUCUAGCCUUGUUGAAUAUAACCGUGAAUCCUUCAGCUGAUGCAGGAUUAUUCACGUCCCAUUCCCCAAAUUUCGGCAAUGGCCGUCCCAUGUCCUGCAAAAUUAAAUUUCAACCAUCGAUCGAUCGAAGAAUGUGAUAGCACAUGAAACUAAUUAACUU
rnacentral:lncRNA from 1 species